GAAGAGGGAGAGGGGGUGUGGAGAGGGGGGUGGUGGCCGCGGCGCCAUGUUGAUGGCGUGGGACGCUUUUAGCCCGGGAGGAGAGACGGGGGAACCGGGUUAAAAUGUCGGAAAAGGGGGAAGGGCGGGAGAUAGGUGUUCCUUCGGGGGCGGGAAGAGACAGCGGAGAGGAGGAGAGGGCGGCUGAGGGGGCAUCGGAAGACCUGGGGCGGCGGCCGGUUGCUCCUGGCGGAGCCGUAGGUCCCCGCACCGGGCGGGGGGCGCAGCGCUGGUCUGGGGCCUUUUCCCUGGCCGCCUUUGCGGGCCGGCGGGGAGCGGCGCCGCUGAGGUGGGUCCGUGGAAGGGGCCGCCGGCUGGCGUUGCAUGGCGCGGGGCAGGCGGCGGCGUGUGUCGGGGGCGGGUGCCGCUGGUGCUGUGGAGGCCGGUGCGGCCCCUCAGGGCUGCGCGCCCGGGCGGGGGGCCCGGUGCGGUGGACGCGGCCGCCGGGGUCUGGGGCGGGUGAGAGGGACUAGCCGCACGCCGUGGUUUAAAGAGCAGGGCUGAAAGCUUGGCCUGGCCGUGCUGGGGUGGGGGAGGCUCUGAGCAGGGCUCAGGCCAGGACGUGCGCGUCUCACGAAGCAGGUGAGUGUUUGUGGUCCCCGCUGCUGGGCUCUUUCAGGGGUUUAGGCUUCGGUCUGAUGUUUGGUAACUGCACUAAUCUUAAUUGGCUGUCAUCAUGUGUGGCUUAUUGUGCCCAGCAGGAGGAGCUUUGUUUCAUCCUAAAGGCAAAUCCUGUCGCUGUAGACCACGAUAUUAUACACUCUAGAGACGUAAACUAACAUUGAAGAAGCUGAUGGGAUGGGUGAGGUGGUGUAAGACCUUUUAACAUGGUGUGGGAGCAGCUAAGCUAACUUGCUUCUGUAUUUUCUUACCUGCUUUAGCUGUCUGGUGUUGGCAUGGCUUAGCCUCCUGAUCAGCUUUUCGAUGCUGUCUUGGGUUCAGCAAGCCCUUGAGUCCAGCGCACCUUCUGGCUGGUCUGGAGGAGGGAGGCUAGAUUUUGAGCCGUGGGUUGUAGUUUCUUGGACUGACAGUCGUCCCCACCUGUACUGGUCUCCCUGCUGGGGAAUGGGAAAUGAUCCCUCAGUCAAACUGGAGGUUAGUUAAAUAUCUGUUAAUUUUAAGGAGCCUGGAGUUCCUUUGUUAGUCCUGAAAUAGCUUGUGGAGGAUCUUCGCUCAAAAGUGGAGGGAAGGCAGACAUUCAUUGAAGACUUAUAUGGUUUGUGAAAUCAUGUGCAUGUGAAAUAAUGUGGUUUCUAGUUACAGCUGAUUCCUGUGAAAUAAAGUGCUCUAUUGCUUCAAGAAGAUAUGUCACUGAAAGGAGCUGAGAAGAGCUAUGUAGGCUUCCUGGAAGUUCUGAUUAAAGCCUUAUAGUGGUGUAAUAGCUUGGGAAAAGGGAGUUAUAGCCUUAUGUUUUUAAAAUACUUAUGCUUUUCCUGGAGGUAAGUACAGUGCAUUUGCUCAAGAUAAUGCUGUGCAGUAGUAGUGCACAGCACUUGCCCUAUGGUACGACCGAGUCACAUGUUGGAGGGAGGCUGUCAUGAGAAAUGUUGUGUGAUGCAAUUAUGAAUUAGUUAACCUAAACCUUGUAGUCUCUUAAGAUUUGUUAAAACUACAGCAAUACAUUCAGGUCUUCCAUCUCCUUAAAUCCAGUUCCCUCCAGCUUAAAAAAAAGGGGGAAGGGGGCAUGAGGGGGAAGACCAGUUCUCUGCCUUCCCCAUUCAUUAUCCCAUAAAAUGUCAGUUGUGUUGGGAGAGGAGCUGCACCUUACAUAGCCACCCUUCUCUCCCCACCCAAGCUUGUCCAAUUUUGCCGUACUUAUUGCUGGAGAAAAGGAGUGGAGGGAGUAUAAUAAAUUUUUGCUCACAUAACUUUCAGUAAUAAUUGCACAUAAUUGAAUAAUUCUGAAUUAACAAAUGUAGCCUCCUUUGUUUCUUUUCUUACUCUGUGUUCCCAUUGUGGAUGAAUUAUCUUUGGAGUUAGUUUGGCUUGUUCGGGGGGUUGGGGGGGAAGGGCCAUUUUAGACUUUAAGCUUAUGCUUACAUCAGUGCAGCUGCUCAUUGAAUAACGAUGGUAAGUAUUGUGAUGGCGUAAUUGAGGGGGGUCCUAUAACUGGAAAAAACCUCACAAAUGCUAAAUUUUUAUCUAAGACAAGUCUACUGGCUAAUGACUGUUUACAUUUUUAGUUAAAUUGCUUUAGCAACAGCUUGUUACACAUGCAUUGAUUUCCUGCCUCCCCACCUGUUUCACGGUGAUGCUGCUCUGGAGAGGAGGCAUGGAAACGUUGCUUUACAAAUUCAAUUAUUUCAUUUCUUUCAGUAUUUCUUUGCCUGAAGAUGCUGCUAAUAUCAGAUAACAGUUGCUACAGCCCGUUGAAACAUGGAAAUAAGGAAUCUCUGGCAAGAGACAAGUACAAUAGAGUUCUGCAUGUUUUAUAGGUCACUUUCAUCAGUGUGGGGAUGUCUGAUAUUUGUCCAUGUAUGGAUUUUCCUCAUAGAUUACAACUUGUCAGAGAUUCUCAUGAUGAAACCUGUGUCACAUGUCUCAAACUUGCAUAUUCUCAUCACACUGUUCACUUUGAAAGUGCUAAUGUCAUAGUCUCUUUUGUGACCCAACAGGUCUUAAUUGCAAGAUCUACAACAGGUGUACAAGCAGUCUGCAGCCCUAUUGCAGAAAUACCUGUUGUCUCAAUACUUCAUAUAAAAAGGCUUAAAGUGACUUGAAGGCCUGCCUUUGGCAUUUCUUAAAUACGUAGGUAUAGUCUGUUUUAAUGCCAUCUAUGAAAACUUAAUCCACUCUAUAUGGUCCUCAGGCUACUAUCGUGUUACCUUUGUUUGUCAGCAUCCUACACUGCAGAAACUGCAGGUUGUCUUUGCUGCUAAAGUGGUUUUAGUCACGUGGGUCUUAGGUAAGUAGCCACCUAGUGUCCUGAGAAUCACUGGAAGGGGUUGGAUGCUCCUGCAGGAGGGUGGGUAAAAAUAUGUGGCUACUCUGCUUGUCUUCUCAAAUUGCUUAGCCAAGGUCAUAUGUAGCAAUCUGGCUUCAUAUCUGUGCUUUCAUUCUGACAAGAUGCUUGCUUUUUAUGAAAACUUCAGGAGGUUAGCUGCUAUAAAUUCAGCCUUUACUAGAUAGCCUACUAAACAGGCUUACUAACUGGAUGAGAAGUAUAUAAGUUUGAGAUUAAACGUACAUGAAAUAAGAAAGGAUGGAUCUUAGGAUUCACCUGAACUGUGUAAGUAUGCUGUGUCGUAAUAUGUAAUUUUUAACGUGUCUGGUGUCAUGGUACAUCCAUGUCAGUGCACCAUGGCUAACUGCUGUCAAAAUGUUGGUGUUUUCCGAGUUCCUGCAUAUUAAUUGUCAGUCCUUAUUGUAAUUUCUUGCCAUGUAAACUAGCUGGGGUAGAAAUUUGUAUGUGCUCAGUUUUCUUAGUUACCUAGCCACAAAACUUUGUAGGAGCUGCCCACGCUUUUUUGGCUGGGAACAAGGUGGGUGGACUGGGAAAGAAAAGUGAGAGCCAAGAAACUGUUACAGACCAUCACCAUUUUAGAGUUUAUAAGGAGGGAAUGGGACAAACUAUUUCACCUUCCAAUUACUGCUCUGGUUUUAGAAGCUGAAGAAACUGCUCUUAAGGUUUUUUGGUAUGUGAUGGCCUCACAUAGGACAGCUUCCUGAAGAGUUACUGGGGUGCUGCAAGCGCCAGAACAGUGCUUUAACAGCAGUCAAGAACUUUAAGUAGCGUGGACAUGUUCUCUAAUUGAGAUAUGGCAGCAGUUCAAUACCAGUUAUACAACAGAAAAGGACGUGCAGGCCACUGCAAGUCCCUGGAUUCAUAGGAACUGGUUUCUGAAAGAACUGCUGAUUUUAUCACAGAUAAAAGCUCAGAUUCUUCCAGAA